GGGAGAUGUCUGGGGAGGAGGGGGGGGAAAUACAACUAUUUAACCUCUCCUCUGCCUGUAAGUCAGCAGAAGUGCUAAGUGCUUCCAAGAAGAGUCUGCUCAAAUCAAGAGGGUUAUAAAAUCAAAAGUAAUGCAAAGAAACAGAGUAUCCCCGACUACUCCCCUCCCUGACCUGAAGGAGCACAGGUUUUGACCAGUGUCCAUGCUGGGCCAGAUUCUUCUCUCAAUUUAACUCAUUGUCAUCCAACUAUUCUCCAGUUCAUAUGUGUUUUUUUUUUUUUGUUUUCCUACUAUCUUUGGACUCUCCUGAGCACUGCUGCACUUUUCUGUGAUUUCUCUUUGCCCAUCAGGUCCAGGCCACUUGUCUUUGGGGCAGGAAAGAGCUGGAGUGAGCCUGCCAUGGACAGACUGCUGCAUCUGGGCUAGGGGCUGCAGGCCUGCCUGAAAAACAGAAAACCAGUGGAGAAAUAAUGGUAGCCUGGCCAUUAGCUGUUGAUUUCCAUUAUAAAGGAGCACCAUGGAGUAUACAAGUACUUCAGUGAUGUAACUCAGCCCUUUACCCACAGGCAGGAUUUGACCCUCUGUCUGCUGGUACAGGAUGUUGGGGGAAGCCAUGGAAGAAGGAUCUUCCAGGGUUCAUCUCCAGAUUAAGCCAACUGGUUCCCUCUGAGACGAAACCCACCACCAAGGGUUGAAAUUCCUCUUGCUCCCCUCAUCCACCUCCCUUGGCAGAAGAUCUGUCUCUGGGCAAUGUCACCCCAUGGUGGUGGCAACCCUAGCACGGGCCAGCACCCUGCAUCAGGAUCUUCUUUUCUUCCCCUUCAUCCCCUCUUGGAGGACAAGACACCCCUUCCCACUUCUCCUGUGGCUCUGGGACAUGAGUCACCUCCGCUCUUCUCCAACCUUUCCUCAAAGGAGCAUCAGAUCAUGUCACCUCCCUGUUCCCACUGUGGUUCAGAGAAGCUGGGCACAUUUUGGCACUUAGAAUGGGAGGAAGCAGAUCCUGAGAUGGAGCAGGGCCAGACCACGGGAAGGGGAGGAGACAGAAGGGGAGAACCAGGCUGCUGUGGAUAAGGUGACAUUAGCUGUCAGAUCACAAUACUGCUGGCAUUUAUGCAUUUAGGAUUGUGACAUUCACCACAGCGGUGACACAUUCCCCAUCACUAAGGAUCAAAGUGUUGCCACAGCUUGAGCUCACUCCAUUUGGAGACAGUGAAUCUUAACACAAAGAAGAGCAAGCAUCUGGUACAUCAGAGAAGAAAGGCAGAAGAGGUGAGGAGGAAAGAACACAUGGUAAAAAAAAAAAAAAAAAAAGGAAAUAAAAGAGAGACAUAAAAAUACACUGGCACUGUGUCAGAACAGACCUAAAAUAACCAGCUGAUGGGUGUGACAAGUGAUACAGAACUAGUGCUUGCUAGUUCUGGUAAGCACUAGCAUCAGGUGUCCAGAUGAAGCAUCUCACUUUAACCACCUUCCCUGGGAGGCUCCAGUCUAGACCACUUGCUGGAAACCAGCUACAGCUCAUAGCUGAUGCCAUGUGACAACACAUGCUUCCUUGUCUCAUUGCUGAGAAUGCAAUAAAUUUAUUAUUUUUAUUUUUUAACAACUUGAAUAAAUUCUUUUAAAAGUGAAAAAAACCAUCACCACUUAUUUCCAUCCACCUUUGAAGGCAAACAUCAUUAGAUCAGCUGCUCUACAGGUUUUUGGUCACAGCUAUGGUAGAAUGUGCCUUGGGCUUAGCUUUGCUGAGAAGCAUAGAUUAAUCCCAUGCUACUCUUUCUUCCAAGGCUCUGGCACUAAUUAAUUCAAAGGAAAUGUGUUAGCACAGUCUGCAUCAAACCUUGCAUUAACUGAGCUCUCUGCAAGGCAAGUGUAUAUGUAUAUGAAGUAGCUGCAAGUUGAGCAUCGCUGGAGGAGGGGAAUGUGAGUAUUCUGGGGUGAGAGUUGGUCACAACCCAAAUCUGGCAGUUUAUAGCAUACGCCAUAGCCUCUGGCCCAGAUUUUUUGCUGAAUUCAUCAUCUGACAGUUUUCUUAUAGACAAACUACCGGGAAUCCAAAUAUCCGAGUAGGACACAGGAAAUUGAUACUGUGAAGGUCUCCGUCUAUUAUCACUGCAGUGUAUAAUUGUGAAGGGUAUGUCCAUGUAACACCCAUUCAUAUGAAAUUCACACCAACUGUACCUAUCUUAAGUUUUUGUAUCGUCCCUUACCUGGGUAUCUGAGCCAUACAUAGUCACUAGGAAACUCUCUAGUAGCCAUGUGUAGUCAGUCCAUAGACCUUCCCCCUCCCUGUGGAGGGGAUGCUUCUGUUUUCCUCCUCUUUUUUUUUUUUUUUUUUUCCUUUAUUUAUUCUAUUUUAUUUUAUUUUAUUUUGUUUUAUUUUAUUUUAUUUUAUUUUAUUUUAUUUUAUUUUUGUUGUUGUUGUUUAGUGAGCUGGUUUUACUGUGUGGUUUUGCUCCUGAUGGAGAAAAAAAGCUUUUGGGGGGUUGUUAAUGAUCAGUGACUGGAAUCACACCACUUCUUUUAGAAAUCUGUUCCAUAACCCAAGCCUUUGACCAGGUCACCUUAGAUUAUAAUGAUUAAUAAAAAUAAUAAAAAAUGAGAAUAUUAGACCCUCUCUGUCUUUGUAGCUUCAUGCUCCUAUGUAGUGCAUCUAACCGACAAUGUUCAGAAUGAAAUUCAGGUACCAUUUAUCCCAUCUGGUAGAGCGUUUAACUAUACUUCAUACAACCACAAUUCCCAUCACAAAUUAUUCUGCACGAGUCAGAGGCACACAUGUGUAAGCCUACUCUGUUUUGUUACUGAUGCAAUGGCAUUUACUGAAAAGCACAUUGGGAAAAAAAAAGUCUAGGCUAAUUUUGUUCUUUCAAAAACUGCAAUUUAACCUUGAUGUCAGAAGAUGGCAGCAGUAAAGCACAAUUAGGACCUUUUAAGUCCACAAGUCUUUUCUUUCAAAACGUGUAUUUGUUCCAGAAAGAGGCAGAUCUUUUAAAAGGCGUUACUUUCAACAGUGGCAUCAAGUAUGACAGACAUCCUUCUAGUAAACAUGAAUGCAUGAUUGCCUUUCAUCUUAACGUACAGCAUGUAUCAAGAGCUGAAUAUCUUAUUACAUGCAAGCACCCUUAGAAAAAUUAAGUUGCGCAUUUAUUCUCAAAAAACUAGUGUUCUAUCUCAUCCAUAAGAAAAGAUAACAUAUUUCUGCAAAUGCCCAUAUAUAUCACUACGCAAUAUAGUGAACAUCUACUGAAUUUCAAGGACCAUUUCUUUUAAAUCAA